UACGUAGGUGGCAAGCGUUGUCCGGAUUUACUGGGCGUAAAGCGCGCGCAGGCGGUCCUUUAAGUCUGAUGUGAAAGCCCACGGCUCAACCGUGGAGGGUCAUUGGAAACUGGGGGACUUGAGUGCAGAAGAGGAAAGCGGAAUUCCACGUGUAGCGGUGAAAUGCGUAGAGAUGUGGAGGAACACCAGUGGCGAAGGCGGCUUUCUGGUCUGUAACUGACGCUGAGGCGCGAAAGUGUGGGGAGCAAACAGG
rnacentral:rRNA from 1 species